rnacentral:rRNA from 1 species
UACGAAGGGGGCUAGCGUUGCUCGGAAUUACUGGGCGUAAGGCGCACGUAGGCGGCUUUCUAAGUCGGGGGUGAAAUCCUGGAGCUCAACUCCAGAACUGCCUUUGAUACUGGCGAUCUUGAGUCCGGGAGAGGUGAGUGGAACUGCGAGUGUAGAGGUGAAAUUCGUAGAUAUUCGCAAGAACACCAGUGGCGAAGGCGGCUCACUGGCCCGGUACUGACGCUGAGGUGCGAAAGCGUGGGGAGCAAACAGG